UAGCGGGUACUGACUGCAAGCACCAGUCGGGGUCACUAGCGGAUUGCGCAGAAAAGCACAAGGGCAUCAGCACCUCAGUUUUCCCGAUGCUUUACACUAACUUGUAUAUUUUGUUGUUUAUCACAUCCGAUUGCUGCUGCUGACUGAAAACAGACUCCCAAUACAAAUUAACGAAGCACCAGCCGACUGCGUAAGGGAGUGGACAGCCGCUAUCACGGGCUGCGCGGGACACAUCCUGAGGUCGCGCUGCUUGGGCGCACACAGACGAGAAGCAGUGCGGUGCAUGAACACCACAGUCCUCCGGAAGGUUUAAAUUGUAACAGCAGCCUGAGGCCUGGAACUACAAAUCACAGCGAUGCCAAUCAUCUCUGCCACUGCCUCCCUGAAUGAGCCACUGAAGCUGGCAGCUCACACUGCAGUGACAUAGAGACACGAUGGGUUCUCACUAAGAAGGAUGAGGAGGACGAGACUCAAAUGUCAGGGCUGACAGAAAGCUAAAGCUGCAUUGGAUUGCCAUAAAUUCUAAGUGUACACAGAAGAGAGGAAAGAAAGAAAGCCUUAACUGGACAUUUGCAAGGUCAGUCUGUCUUUCACUUCCAGCCAUUGACUUUUUUAGGGACUUUACAAGUUACUUAUCCCUUGACUGAUCCCUCAGCCCCAAAGCUAUGGGCCACGAAAGUCCACCUUCUUCAAAUUAAACCAUUUAAAGCAGCCAAUUUGAAAAAUGUACAGAAAAAGACAUUGCAGUAUAACUCUGUAAAAGCUGAAAGAACCAAGGAAGACCGAGGCUUUCUCAACAGGAGACAUGACUGAUUAACUCAUCUGACAAGUGAAGAAAAAUGUACAAGUGAAGUCUCAGAGGGGUCGCUGCAUAUCACAAGCAGUAAAUUACACCGCACUGGAGCUCCAUGAGAUAGAAAAGGAAUAAGUAGCUGAUGCAUGGAUAAAUUACUGUUCAAUAUGAUUGGCAUGUGGUUCUUUUAUUAAGAGUACUUACUUAAAUAUGCUGGCCUGAGAACACACUCGGGUGUUUCAGCCUUGGCUGAUUCAAUUCAUUAACUGCGUCUUUUGAUUUAUUGAUGUAUUAGUA